rnacentral:rRNA from 1 species
UACGGGGGGGGCAAGCGUUGUUCGGAAUUACUGGGCGUAAAGGGCUCGUAGGCGGCCAACUAAGUCAGACGUGAAAUCCCUCGGCUUAACCGGGGAACUGCGUCUGAUACUGGAUGGCUUGAAUUCGGGAGAGGGAUGCGGAAUUCCAGGUGUAGCGGUGAAAUGCGUAGAUAUCUGGAGGAACACCGGUGGCGAAGGCGGUUCUCUGGGCAUGAUCUGACGCUGAGGAGCGAAAGUGUGGGGAGCGAACAGG